GGGUUCUCCGAUCACCCUGUUUUCUACCAACCUUUCUGAAUAUUAUUUAUUAUUCCUUAUGUAUCUGGAUGGAAAAGAGGAAGAGGGACAGUAUGGCAGAGAUGGGAAACAUGAGCCGGAAAACAUGCUUGACUUGAAUUGUCAUCACACUGCCAUUGGAAGGAGAGAGCCGGAAAACUAGCAACAAACACUUGCACGCAAAUACACGCCAGGCACACACCACAUCGAUCACGACAACAAUUCUGAUCUCCAGUCUAAGACUAUAUGGACUACUUGACUCAAAGGGCCUUCCUACCACUCAAAAACUGAAGUCACUGACACUCCAAAGUCCAUUUACACAGUGGUAAGAUGCAAACUGCUAAGACGUUAUUGUCUUCCUUGAAUCAAGGUGGAAGUGUAAUGGUAUGAAGAUCAGGG